UAUAAAUGUUCUGCGAAAAAUUUCGCACAAAAUCAUCAGUCUCAGAAUAGCCGGCGAAAAUGGUGAAGCUAGUGGUGGCGACGACGGUGGAUCCGGCCUCAAUUUGUCCGGCGAAGGAGCUAUUAGCUAAGCCAGGUUGGCAACCCGGGCCCACCUUGGAUGAAGGUAUCAGAAGUUUCAGUAAUGGCGAUGUCAGGCUAUUGGAGCAUGACAAAGGCAUUGUUGAAGAAGAUGAUUUGGAUCAACGUUGGGAGAAUGCUACUGGUCAGACGGUCGAUGAGGUUAUCUUCCUUAGUAAACACACUGCUGUGUCUAACCGCCCCGCUCUCACCAUCCACCCCAUUGGGGUGCCACAUUUGAAAGAGGGGGAUGUUCCACCACAAGGAGGGAAGCCAGGGUGGGCG
rnacentral:misc_RNA from 1 species